AGUGAACGCUGGCGGCAGGCCUAAUACAUGCAAGUCGAACGGCAGCACAGCAGAGCUUGCUCUGUGGGUGGCGAGUGGCGGACGGGUGAGGAAUACAUGGGAAUCUGCCCAGUCGUGGGGGAUAACGUAUGGAAACGUACGCUAAUACCGCAUGCGCCCUAAGGGGGAAAGCCGGGGACCGCAAGGCCUGGCGCGAUUGGAUGAGCCCAUGUUCGAUUAGCUAGUUGGCGGGGUAAAGGCCCACCAAGGCGACGAUCGAUAGCUGGUCUGAGAGGAUGAUCAGCCACACUGGAACUGAGACACGGUCCAGACUCCUACGGGAGGCAGCAGUAGGGAAUAUUGGACAAUGGGGGCAACCCUGAUCCAGCCAUGCCGCGUGAGUGAAGAAGGCCCUCGGGUUGUAAAGCUCUUUUGUCCGGAAAGAAAAGCAAUCGGUUAAUACCCGGUUGUUCUGACGGUACCGGAAGAAUAAGCACCGGCUAACUACGUGCCAGC
rnacentral:rRNA from 1 species